AUGACAUUAAAAAUGGACUCUUCUCUGUGCUUCAUGACUGCAAUACUCCUUAUACUCGGAAGGACCCAUGGAGACUCAGUGACUCAAGCAGGAGGCCAAGUGACCCUCUCAGAAGGCCGGUUCCUGACAAUAAAUUGCACGUAUUCAAUCACAACCAUCGCAUACCCUGUUCUUUUCUGGUAUGUUCGAUAUCCUGGAGAAAGUCUACAGCUCCUCCUGAAAGUCAUUACAGCUGGCAGGAAGGAAAGCAGCAGAGGUUUUGAAGCUACUCAUGAUAAAGGAUCAACCUCCUUCCACUUGCGGAAAUCAUCAGUCCAAGAGUCAGACUCGGCUGAGUACUACUGUGCUUUGGGUGACACAGUGACAGAAACUGCAGGGGGAGCUGAGCACAAACUGAGAGGCAGCAGGCUGCCUGGCUGCUGA